rnacentral:rRNA from 1 species
UGCAGUCGAGCGAAUGGAUUGAGAGCUUGCUCUCAAGAAGUUAGCGGCGGACGGGUGAGUAACACGUGGGUAACCUGCCCAUAAGACUGGGAUAACUCCGGGAAACCGGGGCUAAUACCGGAUAACAUUUUGAACUGCAUGGUUCGAAAUUGAAAGGCGGCUUCGGCUGUCACUUAUGGAUGGACCCGCGUCGCAUUAGCUAGUUGGUGAGGUAACGGCUCACCAAGGCAACGAUGCGUAGCCGACCUGAGAGGGUGAUCGGCCACACUGGGACUGAGACACGGCCCAGACUCCUACGGGAGGCAGCAGUAGGGAAUCUUCCGCAAUGGACGAAAGUCUGACGGAGCAACGCCGCGUGAGUGAUGAAGGCUUUCGGGUCGUAAAACUCUGUUGUUAGGGAAGAACAAGUGCUAGUUGAAUAAGCUGGCACCUUGACGGUACCUAACCAGAAAGCCACGGCUAACUACGUGCCAGCAGCCGCGGUAAUACGUAGGUGGCAAGCGUUAUCCGGAAUUAUUGGGCGUAAAGCGCGCGCAGGUGGUUUCUUAAGUCUGAUGUGAAAGCCCACGGCUCAACCGUGGAGGGUCAUUGGAAACUGGGAGACUUGAGUGCAGAAGAGGAAAGUGGAAUUCCAUGUGUAGCGGUGAAAUGCGUAGAGAUAUGGAGGAACACCAGUGGCGAAGGCGACUUUCUGGUCUGUAACUGACACUGAGGCGCGAAAGCGUGGGGAGC